GGAGCGUUGGCCGAGUGGUUGAAGGCGCUCGACUUGAAAUCGAGUAUACCGAAAGGUAUCGUGGGUUCGAAUCCCUCACGCUCCG
rnacentral:tRNA from 1 species